rnacentral:lncRNA from 1 species
CGAGGGGCCGAUCUUCUAGCGAGAAGGGAAGCCGGGGCGUGAUGGAGACUUGGAACCGGAGCUCCCGGACCUGGCGCCGCAGCGCGCGGCGGAUCCAGCUGUUGACGCGCCGCUCCAUCUUGGGGACGUCGUACCGGCCCAGAUCCAGGUCGUACCGGCCCAGAUCCAGGUUGACGUCGAGGUCGAAGUCGCAGGAGUCCAGGGGCGCGCCGCCGCGGCGGGCGCUCAGAAGGCCGUCGACGAAGGGGCCGAAGGUGUAGGCUCCGCCGGCCCAGCCGGUGCAGCCGGCGAAGCGCACGGCGGGCGCGGACCGCCAG